rnacentral:rRNA from 1 species
UACGUAGGGUGCAAGCGUUGUCCGGAAUUAUUGGGCGUAAAGAGCUCGUAGGCGGUUUGUCGCGUCUGCUGUGAAAACGCGAGGCUCAACCUCGCGCCUGCAGUGGGUACGGGCAGACUGGAGUGCGGUAGGGGAGAUUGGAAUUCCUGGUGUAGCGGUGGAAUGCGCAGAUAUCAGGAGGAACACCGAUGGCGAAGGCAGAUCACUGGGCCGUAACUGACGCUGAGGAGCGAAAGCGUGGGGAGCGAACAGG